UACGUAGGUGGCAAGCGUUGUCCGGAUUUACUGGGCGUAAAGCGUGCGCAGGCGGUUCGUUAAGUUCGUCGUGAAAGCCCCGGGCUCAACCUGGGAACUGCGAUGGAAACUGGCGGGCUUGAGUGUGGCAGAGGGGGGUGGAAUUCCGCGUGUAGCAGUGAAAUGCGUAGAGAUGCGGAGGAACACCGAUGGCGAAGGCAGCCCCCUGGGCCAACACUGACGCUCAGGCACGAAAGCGUGGGGAGCAAACAGG
rnacentral:rRNA from 1 species